rnacentral:rRNA from 1 species
UGGUGGAGCGAUUUGUCUGGUUAAUUCCGAUAACGAACGAGACUCUGGCCUAUUAAAUAUUCGCCGAUUCCGAUCUGUCGGCGUUAACUUCUUAGGGGGACAAGUGGCUUUUAGCCACGCGAGAUUGAGCAAUAACA